CCCUUAGAUGCUCUGGGCCGCACGCGCGCUACACUGAUACAUUCAACGAGCCUAUCCUUGACCGACAGGUCCGGGUAAUCUUUGAAUCUGCAUCGUGACGGGGAUAGAUUAUUGCAAUUAUUAAUCUUCAACGAGGAAUGCCUAGUAGGCGCAAGUCAUCAGCUUGCGUCGAUUACGUCCCUGCCCUUUGUACACACCGCCCGUCGCUCCUACCGAUUGGGUGUGCUGGUGAAAUGUUCGGAUCGGCCGUUUGUCGCGGUUUCCGCGUCAUGUGGCUGAGAAGUUCAUUAAACCCUCCCACCUAGAGGAAGGAGAAGUCGUAACA
rnacentral:rRNA from 1 species